UACUCUUUUUCUACAAAUGGAAAGUUUGUGGCAUCCUUGACUCAAGCAAAUUUUUCAGCACCAUUUCUCAAGAGCGUGUGCUCACUUCACCUCUCUGUAUCGUGUUUUGAUGCUUGCCCUGGAAACCAACCAUGAUGCUGUGAUGUUGGCAACUGAGUUGUGUUUCAGCCCAAAGCAGCAAAUGGAAUCCAGGUGACUGACAUCAUUAUCUAUCAGACAUGUGAGAGAACUCCUUAGGAUGAUGUUACUCAUUAUCUGCAACCACAUGAGAAACCCGGAGCAAGAACCACCCAGCCAAGGCCAAUCUCUAGAACUUUGAAAGAUAAUCAUAAAUGAAGCUUCAGGACCAUCAUCUGACAUAGGGGAAGAAGACUUACAUAGAAGGCCUAACCAGCACCCAAGAUCAUGGUGGUCAUGAAAGAUUUCAACAAUAAAGAUGUAUUUGAGCAGAGACGUAACAGGAGGGAGGAAACGAGCCAUGCAGCUAUUUCACUGAAGAGUAUUUCAGGGCUGAUGUCAGAGAAGGCUGAGUUGGGUACCAAGACAUUCAUUCUCUCCAGGUGGUAACAAGGACCCUCACAUGGUAUUAACGAAGACCAAAUGUUUGAAUUUCUGCUUGACUUCUUCUUCAAUUGUGAAAUCUGGAUCUAUGCAGAUUUUCUGCUUGCUGAACCUCUCAAAUACUGAAGGGAAGUUUCCUGGCGGUCUCUCGUCAUAUGCUGUUUACUAAAGGAAUAGUUUCCGAUCUGCUGUAGGAAGUACUAUGCUAUCCAUUUGUUCCAGGACCUUAUCCUCUGCAGGUUUCAUGCGCAUCCGUGUGAAGAGACCUGUCAAUAGGUAAGCCAAAAUUAGUAUUUUUCUUAAUUUUAUCAACUAGAAAAAUACAGAUUAAAAACAACUUUAAAAAAACUGUUAAAAAUCACUUUGGAAAAAAUUCAAGCAAGUAAGAACACAACCAAGAAAAUUUAAAAAUUGAGGCAUAUAGCAAGCUUGCAAAUAAAUGCAACACAACUUGUAUCAAUUAAAACAUUAAAUUUUAAGGAGUUGUACUUAUUAAAAUAAAACAAAGUGACAAAAGGUAGAAUAUAACUACAUGAAAUAGUCAUACCUGAAAUUAAGUGACAUUAAAAAGUUAAAAAUAGGUACAUAUCUGGUAAACAAAGCAAAUGGGUGACAUUUCAUAGUAUAACAUAUAUUUUUCCUUGAAGGGCUUAAUAUAUGAUAUUAGUAAUAGCUGCAUUUAGUGAGUUUUUAUACUGUACCUGUGACUGUUCUAUAACUUUAUGUUUAUUAACUCAUAUAUAGUUCUAAAUUAUACUUGGUAUAAUUUUUGUUUCCAAGAUAAAUAAAUAAAUAAAUAAAGCGAGUUAAUUUUUUCAAAGACCAUGUAAUUGGAAAACAAUGGAGUUCAGACUGAUAUCCAGGCCAGAUAAAUUCAGAGCACAAGAUUUUUAGUUUUAUAUUUCUCUAAGAAGAUAAAAUCGCCAUAAAACUCCUGUGCCUUAAUCAUACUGCAUUGGCUGUAAAUAUGCAAGUAAGUUACAAGAGCAGUUGGAAAAAAUAAUCAUACCUCUUUUAGACUUUGAUAUGUGUGUUUGUAAGAUGUACAUAAUCAUAAAUAGUAAUAAUUAAACCAAUAAUAUCAAUAGCAAUUACAAUUUAAUAAUUUAAUAAAAAUUAUUUUCUUCUAUGCAAUAUAUUAAGUACUUUACAAAUUUCAUUUAGCCAUCAUAGUAAUUUUUGAUACAGAAAAAUAAAGCUAAAAUAAUUUAAAUAGGAUUUAUCCUGAGACAGAAAGUGAGUGAUUCAAGGUCACAUAGCUGUUAAAUGAGGCCAGCAUUUUACCCAGAACUAUUCUAUGCCAGACCUGUACUUAACAUUGUAUUAUGUUCUAAUAAAAUAAUAAGGUGAAGGAGUGUAUUAAACUUUAUACCGUAAAACAGAUCCUUUUGUCUAGUAACCAUUAAUGUUUCAAAAGCCAGCAAUUGCUUAUUAGAGUUCAACAUGCUUUAAAACACUGAAGCUGUUUAAGUCCUAGUCUUCAACCUCAAUGCAAACAUCUUGAAGUCACCAAAAACAUUUUUAAUCUACCCUCUUGUACAAAAGUAAAUGUCUUCUUAGUGAGAGAAAAGAGAUAAUUAAACAGUAGUUUUAGACUAAACAUUAACAACUACAUCCUAAAUGUCAAAACUAAUGCAUCAAAUAUUUUCAAAAGAAAAAUCAGUAAAACGUUAGUUAAUUAUGAAUGAAGAGAAAAUUAAAAUAAAUAUAAUGAGAAUUCGAUUUAAGAAACUGGAAAAGGAAUAACAUAAAACUAUGUGUCUGAAAUUGCAUUAAAGCAAAAAAUUAAAUAAAUUGAAGGUAAAAUAUAUAAUUGAUAAAUACAUUCAGGAAUUAUUUAUCUGACUAAUCAAUGAAAUGAAGAAACCUGUGGU